GAUGAAGAACGCAGCGAAAUGCGAUAAGUAGUGUGAAUUGCAGAAUUCAGUGAAUCAUCGAAUCUUUGAACGCACAUUGCGCCCCUUGGUAUUCCAUGGGGCAUGCCUGUUCGAGCGUCAUUUGUACCUUCAAGCUUUGCUUGGUGUUGGGUGUUUGUCUCGUCUUUGCGUGUAGACUCGCCUUAAAAUAAUUGGCAGCCGGCGUAUUGAUUUCGGAGCGCAGUACAUCUCGCGCUUUGCACUCAUAACGACAGCGUCCAAAAGUACAUUUUACACUCUUGACCUCGGAUCAGGUAGGGAUACCCGCUGAACUUAAGCAUAUCAAUAAGCGGAGGA
rnacentral:misc_RNA from 1 species